AGAGUUUGAUCAUGGCUCAGAGCGAACGCUGCGGCAUGCUUAACACAUGCAAGUCGCACGGGCAGGGGCAACUCUGUCAGUGGCGGACGGGUGAGUAACGCGUAGGUAUCUAUCCUUGGGUGGGGGACAACUGUGGGAAACUACAGCUAAUACCGCAUGAAGACUGAGGUCUAAAGGCGCAAGUCGCCUGGGGAGGGGCCUGCGUACGAUUAGCUAGUUGGUGGGGUAAAGGCCUACCAAGGCGACGAUCGUUAGCUGGUCUGAGAGGAUGAUCAGCCACAUUGGGACUGAGACACGGCCCAAACUCCUACGGGAGGCAGCAGUGGGGAAUAUUGGACAAUGGGCGCAAGCCUGAUCCAGCAAUGCCGCGUGUGUGAAGAAGGUCUUCGGAUUGUAAAGCACUUUCGACGGGGACGAUGAUGACGGUACCCGUAGAAGAAGCCCCGGCUAACUUCGUGCCAGCAGCCGCGGUAAUACGAAGGGGGCUAGCGUUGCUCGGAAUGACUGGGCGUAAAGGGCGCGUAGGCGGAUGGCACAGUCAGAUGUGAAAUUCCCGGGCUUAACCUGGGGGCUGCAUUUGAUACGUGUUGUCUAGAGUGAGGAAGAGGGUCGUGGAAUUCCCAGUGUAGAGGUGAAAUUCGUAGAUAUUGGGAAGAACACCGGUGGCGAAGGCGGCGACCUGGUCCUUGACUGNNGCUGAGGCGCGAAAGCGUGGGGAGCAAACAGGAUUAGAUACCCUAGUAGUCC
rnacentral:rRNA from 1 species